rnacentral:rRNA from 1 species
UAACCUGGAGGAAGGUGGGGAUGACGUCAAAUCAUCAUGCCCCUUAUGCUUAGGGCUACACACGUGCUACAAUGGGUAGUACAGAGGGUUGCCAAGCCGUAAGGUGGAGCUAAUCCCUUAAAGCUACUCUCAGUUCGGAUUGUAGGCUGAAACUCGCCUACAUGAAGCUGGAGUUACUAGUAAUCGCAGAUCAGCAUGCUGCGGUGAAUGCGUUCCCGGGUCUUGUACACACCGCCCGUCACACCACGGGAGUUGGAGACGCCCGAAGCCGAUUAUCUAACCUUUUGGAAGAAGUCGUCGAAGGUGGAAUCAAUAACUGGGGUGAAGUCGUAACAAGGUAGCCGUAUCGGAAGGUGCGGCUGGAUCACCUCCUUUCUAAGGAGA